GCUCAGGACGAACGCUGGCGGCGUGCCUAAUACAUGCAAGUCGAGCGGACCUUUUAAAAGCUUGCUUUUGAAAGGUCAGCGGCGGACGGGUGAGUAACACGUGGGCAACCUGCCUGUAAGACUGGGAUAACUUCGGGAAACCGGAGCUAAUACCGGAUAAUAUAAGGAACCUCCUGGUUCUUUAUUGAAAGAUGGUUUCGGCUAUCACUUACAGAUGGGCCCGCGGCGCAUUAGCUAGUUGGUGAGGUAACGGCUCACCAAGGCGACGAUGCGUAGCCGACCUGAGAGGGUGAUCGGCCACACUGGGACUGAGACACGGCCCAGACUCCUACGGGAGGCAGCAGUAGGGAAUCUUCCACAAUGGACGAAAGUCUGAUGGAGCAACGCCGCGUGAGCGAUGAAGGCCUUCGGGUCGUAAAGCUCUGUUGUUAGGGAAGAACAAGUGCGAGAGUAACUGCUCGCACCUUGACGGUACCUAACCAGAAAGCCACGGCUAACUACGUGCCAGCAGCCGCGGUAAUACGUAGGUGGCAAGCGUUGUCCGGAAUUAUUGGGCGUAAAGCGCGCGCAGGUGGUCCUUUAAGUCUGAUGUGAAAGCCCACGGCUCAACCGUGGAGGGUCAUUGGAAACUGGGGGACUUGAGUGCAGAAGAGGAAAGUGGAAUUCCAAGUGUAGCGGUGAAAUGCGUAGAGAUUUGGAGGAACACCAGUGGCGAAGGCGACUUUCUGGUCUGUAACUGACACUGAGGCGCGAAAGCGUGGGGAGCAAACAGGAUUAGAUACCCUGGUAGUCCACGCCGUAAACGAUGAGUGCUAAGUGUUAGAGGGUUUCCGCCCUUUAGUGCUGCAGCUAACGCAUUAAGC
rnacentral:rRNA from 1 species